CCUCUCGUAGCUUAAUGAUCAGAGCAAGGUGCGUAAAGCCAAGGGUCCCGAGUUCGAUUCCCGGCGAGAGUG
rnacentral:tRNA from 1 species